rfam:Hafnia alvei FB1, complete genome.
ACAUACUUUGUGUAUGUUCCGGUUCUUCCGCGCUGGCCGACACCAGCUGAACGCAGCUCGCGACGUUUUUAGAUCG